GUGUUGUGGCAGGGAGACAAUUGCGAAAUACCCUUUCUGACGAUCUGGAGACUCCAAAUUUCCAAAAUUUUCUCAAUUUCCCAUUAUAUUUAUUUUAUUUAUUUAUUUAUUUAGCUUUGCCAACUAGGGCAGGGUCACCACAACAGCAUAUGCCAAUUACUGUGGGCCCUUUUUACCUAACCCACCCUGUCAACUUUCCCUGUGGGAGGAAACCGGAGUACCCGGGGAAAACCCACGGCUUUCGGCAGAGCGUUGACUUUUACUCUUUUCACGUGGGGACUGGGUUCGAGUCGCACUGAGAAGGUACCUAGUGAGACUCGAACCUGCAGCCUCAGAGGUGAAAGGCAAGUGCGCUAACCACUUGGCCACCGA